UACGGAGGGUGCAAGCGUUGUUCGGAAUCACUGGGCGUAAAGGGCGCGCAGGCGGUUUGGUAAGUCAGAUGUGAAAGCCCACGGCUUAACCGUGGAAGUGCAUUUGAUACUGUCAGACUUGAGUACCAGAGGGGAAAGUGGAAUUCCCGGUGUAGAGGUGAAAUUCGUAGAUAUCGGGAGGAAUACCGGUGGCGAAGGCGACUUUCUGGCUGAGUACUGACGCUGAGGCGCGAAAGCGUGGGGAGCAAACAGG
rnacentral:rRNA from 1 species